GGGGAUAUUGCGUAACCAGGCAGCGCGGCAGGCUCCAGACCUGCAAGUCGGGGUUCAAAUCCCCGUGUCCCCA
rnacentral:tRNA from 1 species